rnacentral:misc_RNA from 1 species
ACUUUUUAGUCCCUGUGUAAUAAGAAAAAUCAAAUAAGUU